rnacentral:lncRNA from 1 species
AACUCAAGUAUCCUUUUUAUAUAUUGUUAUAGAUAAUAAAUUAAAAAACAUUGGAGUAACAUUCACAUGUUUGUUGCAUCUUGGACAAAAAUACAAUCCUUGAUCUGGAAAAGCCUUUCUCUUAGAGACGCACAUGACAAAUUAACCAUCGAUCAUCACCCAACAUAAAAUGCUGUGGAUGGGCAGAACGAAUAUAGCUCCAAUGACAAGGCAGGUGAAUGAUGCGGUGGCUUUGAACUCAGACACUGAGGGGAAAUGUACCUGCAAGAAUGUUAGCACUUUGACGCUCAAACUAGUAUUUGAAAGAUGUGAAAUGCUAUGAAAAUUGGGAUGAAUAUUGUGUACCUUGAUAAAGUGGAAUCACCACUCAUAAACCGUUAAUCUUUAUGGGUAUCAACGACAUAUCAUAUGAUUUUCAAUUUUUUUAAAAUUUGACAUAGAUGAUCUAUAUGAUAUAAACUAUCAAUUUAACGGUAAAUUUUGUAAAAUUCAUAUUUGUUAUAAUGAUAUCAUGAAUUUGUGCACCAUAAAAGACAUGAUGCACUUGUGUAUGUUAGAAUUGGCCUUAUUAGAAUGGCAACAUAGUUGAAAUGUCAGCAAAUCAUAAUAACGUAUUUUUUUAAAAAUAAAAUAAAAAAAAAGAAAAAAGAAUCAUUUAGAAAACUAUUUGUUAGUAUUCAGUAUCAUAUUAUUUUGGGGAUGAAUAAAAUUAAUAAUUUGC